CCCCUAGAUGUUCUGGGCCGCACGCGCGCUACACUGAACAGUUCAACAAGUCUUAACCUUGGCCGAUAGGUCUGGGUAAUCUUUGAACGCUGUUCGUGAUUGGGAUAGACCUUUGCAAUUAUGGGUCUUCAACGAGGAAUUCCUAGUAAACGCAAGUCAUCAGCUUGCAUUGAUUACGUCCCUGCCCUUUGUACACACCGCCCGUCGCACCUACCGAUCGAAUGGUCCGGUGAAAUCUCGGGACGGCGGCUUGGUCGCUUGCGUCCGACUGCUGAAACUUGAUUAAACCAUAUCAUUUAGAGGAAGGUGAAGUCGUANCA
rnacentral:rRNA from 1 species